rnacentral:rRNA from 1 species
GACAGAGGGUGCAAGCGUUGUCCGGAAUUAUUGGGCGUAAAGAGCGUGUAGGCGGCCCGAUUAGUCCGCUGUGAAAGUCCAGGGCUCAACCCUGGAAUGCCGGUGGAUACUGUCGGGCUAGAGUCCGGAAGGGGCGAGUGGAAUUCCUGGUGUAGCGGUGAAAUGCGCAGAUAUCAGGAGGAACACCAAUGGCGAAGGCAGCUCGCUGGGACGUGACUGACGCUGAGACGCGAAAGCGUGGGGAGCAAACAGG